rnacentral:rRNA from 1 species
CCUACGGGAGGCAGCAGUGGGGGAUAUUGCACAAUGGGGGGAACCCUGAUGCAGCGACGCCGCGUGAGCGAUGGAGUACUUCGGUAUGUAAAGCUCUGUCAGCAGGGAAGAAAAUGACGGUACCUGACCAAGAAGCCCCGGCUAAAUACGUGCCAGCAGCCGCGGUAAUACGUAUGGGGCAAGCGUUAUCCGGAUUUACUGGGUGUAAAGGGAGCGUAGGGGGCAGGGCAAGCCUGAUGUGAAAGCCCGGGGCUCAACCCCGGCCCGCCGUUGAAACUGGCAGUCUCGAGUUGGAGAGAAGUAUGCGGAAUGCGCGGUGUAGCGGUGAAAUGCAUAGAUAUCGCGCAGAACUCCGAUUGCGAAGGCAGCAUGCCGGCUCCACACUGACGCUGAGGCACGAAAGCGUGGGUAUCGAACAGGAUUAGAUACCCUUGUAGUC